UACGUAGGGUCCGAGCGUUGUCCGGAAUUAUUGGGCGUAAGGGCUCGUAGGCGGUCCGUCACGUCGGGAGUGAAAACUCAGGGCUCAACCCUGAGCGUGCUUCCGAUACGGGCGGACUAGAGGUAUGCAGGGGAGAACGGAAGUUCCUGGUGUAGCGGUGGAAUGCGCAGAUAUCAGGAGGAACACCGGUGGCGAAGGCGGUUCUCUGGGCACUUACCUGACGCUGAGGAGCGAAAGCAUGGGGAGCGAACAGG
rnacentral:rRNA from 1 species